rnacentral:misc_RNA from 1 species
UACUCUCAUCUUCAAUGCCUCCAUCGUAGAUUUUCCUGUUUGGUGGAAGAAAAAAACGAAAUUUUCCCAAGAAAGUUAGGUAUUUAGAAGAUGGGAAAAUUUGUGGAGGCAGAAAGAAAUUGGAACACUCCUGGUGGGGUGGCAGAAGCUAUGGAGGUUGGUAGUUUAUAUAGGGAGUUGAAGGGGGUGGAGACAGUUGAUGGAGA